UACAGUACUUUGGUCUGUGAGGUUCAGUGAAACACUGCAGGAUGUAUUUUCUGACUGAACGAAAACCUAUUCAUGAAAACAGUGGCCCCCUUCAACAGAAAUCUGAUGAGGAGGACUUGUAGUUCAGCUGGAGAAGAUUUACAAGCAGGGAACCAAAAAAUAAACAACGAUGUAGGUAAAGUUGUAAUGACCAGAGCUGAAGGAUGAUUGGAAUUACAUGGUUGCAGCAAUCAACAGCUUCUUUCUGGAGAGACUUUCUCCACUGAGGGGAUUGGGUGUUGCUGACAGGAGGGAACAUAAGUGACAGUGAGGUGGUAGAUAACAUGUAUGAGACAGAUGCUGAGCCACCAGCUGGGGAGAGCGGUGAAGAGGAAACAGAAGACAGCAUCAUGUCCCCAAUCCCUGUCGGCCCACCAUCCCCACUUCCCCCUAGCAAUGAAUUCACUCCAAAAGAAGGGUCCCCGUACGAAGCCCCUGUCUACAUUCCUGAAGACAUUCCGAUCCCGCCUGACUUCGAGCUGAGAGAGUCUUCAGUCCCUGGAGCAGGAUUAGGGAUUUGGGCCAAGAAGAAGAAUGAAGUAGGAGAGAAAUUCGGUCCCUAUGCUGGGAUUCAAAGGGUGACACUGAAGGAUCCAAACUUUGGAUGGGAGGUCAGUCGUGUAAUUGUUGAUUUAUUAUUGUAACUGAUUGAUUGCGCUCAGGAGUGCUACAUGAUUCCGACUAACGGCAUUUUUACCCUGGCAGUUUGCCAUGGCAGUAUCCCUGUCAUAUUCCCACUGGUGCCAAUAUAUCUGAUGUAAACUCUACACUUGUGAAGGGGCCCCAGUCUUCAGUCUUUCACAGUAAAUCUAUACGUGGGCCAGAGGAGCAUGGCAAGGUAAAACAAGAAGGGCCACGCUCUCAGAUCAUCAUUUCAAAACCGCUCUCAUGCUGCACAUCAACAGCAUGAAACUCCAUUGCUGUACCUGAUGGAUUCUGUAGGAGUGGUGCAGAAUGCAAAUUAGCAGGGUGCUUGCUCAAAGCUGAUCUUGUGCUUCUUUAGGCACAGGCCUAACCUUCGAUGGUACAUUGGACAAGUAGAUUAAGGAGACAGAGGAACAAAAUCUCAAAAGCACGGAGUCCCAUCAAACUCUCAAAGAAAACUUUGAUGAAAAUGGUUUCAAGAUCUUGUGAUCCAAAUGCAUUGCAUAGGGUAUAUUAUUCUGCCCUUUUUGGAUAUUUCUAGUUUUUUUAAUAAUUCAAGAUUGUAAUUCACAAACUUUCCUUGUUGGAUGUUGGAGUAAUUUUAAGGAUUCAGAGAGUCCACAAGUUGUUCUAACUAUGUUUCCAUUUUGGUGCUUGGUUUGGCUCAUGGUUAACCUAGUUGAAUGUAAAGUUUCGAACUGCAAGUAUGUGCUACUGGACUUUGCCUCCUUCAGCUGUCUUUGUUGUGCUUGUGUUAAUUAUAAGGAAAACAUGUUCCAUAACAGCUUUGUACAAACUAGAAUGUGGCUGUUUUGGAAAUUACGAAUCACCUCUGUCAAAGGUGUUUCCAGUUUGGUGUUAGUCAAGCGUAUGACCAAGUACCAGAUUAUAGAAUAAUCACUGAUCUCUGGGCAUUCCUUUCAGUGAAUUGCUGGGUAUGCUGCUUUAAAAUGGUAGGAGGCUCACCAUAUUCCAAACAAUGUAUUAGUUAGCUGGUGAGAUACAGUGGUUUCUUUUUAAUUGGUAAAUAUCCAAUGUAUAACUGCUCUGAGGCCAAUUAGAGCCUAAUUGUUUGUAGGCGUAUUCAGGGGUCAAUCAGUGGUCAAAGGAAACCAACAAGAAAUAACUGGCUUUGUUUUUUGCUGUGUGGCACAGAGCUUUGUGUAUUAUAAAAGUGUGACAGGCUUGCCUCAAAGUGUUUAUACUGUAUGUAUUAGCCAACCCUUGUGGCAUUGCUCAUUGGGAGUUGAAGAUAUGCUGUUUUUAAAAUAGUGUAACUCUUUGCAAUUGAAUGCGACAGUGAAAAUAUCACAGGAGGUAAUUGUGAGACUUACAGAAUGGGCUUUUGUAUUAAAGGUUCAUAACACCUUAGAGAUAUGCAAUACUGUUUUGUGACAGGGAAAGAAUUCAACCUAUCAAGCCACUGCAAAUUAUAAAUCAAAUGCCAGCAUGUAUAAAGCAGUUCUUGGAUUCUAUUUUAUGCCUUGUUUUAAUUUGACUGAAGAUAUUUCAUGAACCUGGUAUCCUCUUAACCUUACUGAACAGUCAGCAGGAUUUAAAUCUAGUCCUUGUUAUAACCCGAUCAAAGAGACUCCAGUACCGCGAUCAAACCCUUGCUUUAAUUUCACCCCAGGAGGAGUCAAGCAUCCUUUCUCAUUUCCCAUUUAAUUGUGACUGAGCCGACUUUAGAAUCCUGAUCCAAUCCAUGUUUUCUGGCUGUUUCUCAUUUCUGGUUAUGAUGUAAUUAUAUUGUUUGACAUUUGUCGCUAUGACAGCAUUUCCCUUUUUAGGGAAACAAUGGUCAAUGAGACAGAAUUGAAUUACUGAUUUUGAGCCUGCUUCACUGCACAAUACCAGAUUUGUUUUUGAAGAAUGGCCAUUGCAAGACUCUGUGCUGAAAGUGAUGUAACAUGGCUGAAGGUCAUGUGACCUUUCUCUUCACAGAGUUUGAUCAUUCACCCUGAAAGAAGAUCAGUGCUGCAAUAUCACUUCUAUGAUGUUGCAUUAAUCCUUUGUUAGAAAAGGCAAAACUUUUCAUCGCAAGUUCAGUCCUCCUGUGAUAUAUUCAAUUGACAGACCCAUGGCAAACAGCAAUGGGGAAGUUCCAUCAUGGCUGCCACUUUGGAAAGAUGGGAAACCCAACCGCCUCGCAGCAUAGUAAAAGAAACAAGUUUGUGUAGUCCCAUUAGAGGGAGACGACUGGUGGGUGAGUUUAACCUGAGGGUUGCCAUGCUUCAGGCAAAGUUGAGAUGAUUGGACCUUCAUGAUAACCUAAGCCAGUGCAUGAAUAGAACUCAUUCUGUUUGGCACCACUCUACAUUGCAAACCAGCCACCUAGGCUAUCCUGCUAUCUCAAUAACAUAAUAUUAUCUGUGUCAGAAAGGUAUCUAUAUUGUCCUGUUUACAUAGAACUACUAUGAUGGCAGGCCUAUCUCUACAGUUGCUGUCACAAGGUAAGUGGUGUAAUGUUAGAGUUGCCAAUUCAGAAGCAAAUAUUCCAAGAUUUUUUUUCUCUCACAUCGUGAUGCCAGUCUUGAUUGCCCUUUGACCUGUCAUUUCCAAGCCAUCAUUCUUUUUUUCAGUAUGGCUGAGGAAACGAGGAAUGUACAUGUUCCACCAAUAUCUAUGUUUUAAUAUAAAAAAAAGAAACAACACUCAAAAAGAGAUUUGGUGGAAAGCUUUCUAAGCUUUUAGCCUCCUUAACCAAAGCAUUUAUUUUCUAGCCUGUCAGAAAGCAGAUAGAAAUGCCGCUUCUUACUUUGAGUGUUGGAGCUCUUUACAGGCUGGAUAGAGACAAAGGCCCAGGGAGUAAGCUGUGUGUAAAUCCUUCUAGGCUGGACCUUCAGUUUUCAGGGCAGUUGAAUGUUGUCAGAGGCAUUGCUCGCUUAGCCAUUGACACCUCCUGUCUUCUUCGUCCAAACUCUCUCAGUUUUGCUGAGGUCGAUUUGAGUGGAACGUCAGCAACGCCAGUGGGGGAAGAAAAUACAGGUUGCCCUGGCAGCAAUGCUCCUGAGCUCAGUACUGUGGCUGUGUUGGUCACGUUCUAUGUCACACCUCUGUGCCUAUGCAGGAGUGAAGACUGCAAAUACAAUUCAGUUCAAUGGACUAGAGCCAGCUGAGAAUAUUGAGUCAUAGAAUCAUAGUUUUAAGAACUUGUGGAUUGUUUUCAAUAUCCAUUUGGAGAGGAGUGGUGAAUCCAGCAGGCUCCUGAGUGUUCCAGAACACUAAGCAAUGUAUCUGUGCAACUCAAUAUUCUUUAUUAGCUGCUGCCCUCAGUCUGGACUAU